rnacentral:rRNA from 1 species
AUUGAACGCUGGCGGCAGGCCUAACACAUGCAAGUCGAGCGGAUGAAGGGAGCUUGCUCCUGGAUUCAGCGGCGGACGGGUGAGUAAUGCCUAGGAAUCUGCCUGGUAGUGGGGGAUAACGUCCGGAAACGGGCGCUAAUACCGCAUACGGCCUGAGGGAGAAAGUGGGGGAUCUUCGGACCUCACGCUAUCAGAUGAGCCUAGGUCGGAUUAGCUAGUUGGUGGGGUAAAGGCCUACCAAGGCGACGAUCCGUAACUGGUCUGAGAGGAUGAUCAGUCACACUGGAACUGAGACACGGUCCAGACUCCUACGGGAGGCAGCAGUCGGGAAUAUUGGACAAUGGGCGAAAGCCUGAUCCAGCCAUGCCGCGUGUGUGAAGAAGGUCUUCGGAUUGUAAAGCACUUUAAGUUGGGAGGAAGGGCAGUAAGUUAAUACCUUGCUGUUUUGACGUUACCAACAGAAUAAGCACCGGCUAACUUCGUG